rnacentral:rRNA from 1 species
CCGGUACGACAUUUUGUUGUACAUUGGCUUCUUAGAGGGACUAUUGAUGUUUAAUCAAUGGAAGUUUGAGGCAAUAACAGGUCUGUGAUGCCCUCCAGAUGUUCUGGGCCGCACGCGCGCUACACUGACAGAGGCAGCGAGUAUUAUAUUCCUUAUUCGAAAGAAUUGGGUAAUCUUGUUAAACUCUGUCGUGCUGGGGAUAGAGCAUUGCAAUUAUUGCUCUUCAACGAGGAAUUCUUAGUAAGCGCAAGUCAUCAGCUUGCGUUGAUUACGUCCCCUGCU